rnacentral:rRNA from 1 species
GAGUUUGAUCAUGGCUCAGAUUGAACGCUGGCGGCAUGCCUUACACAUGCAAGUCGAACGGCAGCACGGGGGCAACCCUGGUGGCGAGUGGCGAACGGGUGAGUAAUACAUCGGAACGUGUCCUGUAGUGGGGGAUAGCCCGGCGAAAGCCGGAUUAAUACCGCAUACGAUCUACGGAAGAAAGCGGGGGAUCUUCGGACCUCGCGCUGCAGGGGCGGCCGAUGGCAGAUUAGCUAGUUGGUGGGGUAAAGGCCUACCAAGGCGACGAUCUGUAGCUGGUCUGAGAGGACGACCAGCCACACUGGGACUGAGACACGGCCCAGACUCCUACGGGAGGCAGCAGUGGGGAAUUUUGGACAAUGGGGGCAGCCCUGAUCCAGCAAUGCCGCGUGUGUGAAGAAGGCCUUCGGGUUGUAAAGCACUUUUGUCCGGAAAGAAAACUUCGUCCCUAAUAUGGAUGGAGGAUGACGGUACCGGAAGAAUAAGCACCGGCUAACUACGUGCCAGCAGCCGCGGUAAUACG